UGUGCCAAGGGACAGGCACAGGCGGUCAAGGAAGACAGCCGCAAGGACAUCGCAGGAUGCGAUUCAUCAGGAUGAUGAAAAGGAUUAAAGGGAUUACGGAAAAAAUGUGGGCGGGUCAAACCGCCCCUUUUUUC
rnacentral:sRNA from 1 species